CCAAAUCUCUUCUGUUACUCCUGGCUAUUUGGGAAAAGAAGGGCCCAUGUCAGUGGCUAAAGGGAUGCCCCCUGUUGGGCCAUGUGUGCAUGUAUCUGUAGAUAUGUGUAUGUGACCAUGCUCUUCAUCAUCCCUGAGCAAACAUUGCCUUUUCAAAUCAGAGCAUGCCUGAAAGUAAAAGGUUUGUGGAGAGCUGGGAUCUCUAGGGACUCUGGUUGCCGUAGCAACCUUCCAGACUGUUCUCUCAGUCUUCUGAUUCGGGCAUCAAGGGAGAACAGACUACAUAUCCCCCAGCUUCUCAAAUGGGAGCACCUUCUACUAUUGGUUUAGGGGUAGGUCGAGCCAGGACAGGGACACAGGACCUUGGAAAAUGUGGAGGCAACUAAACUUCUUGAACUUCCUCCUUGGAUUCUUCCUGGUUUCCCUGACCCAGUCCUUGAAGCUGCCUCACCUUACCCCUGAGUCUUCAGAAACUUGAAUGCUUAGCAGCUGCCCCAUUAAACCAACAUCAAUGUUCUGCUUUUAAAAAUGACCAGGAGAGCCCUCGGAAUGGACAAUGUGUUCCUCCAGAAGCAGCCAGGCUGGGCUUUGCUGAGAACAGUCCUAGCCUUAGGUGUCAUGGAGUUCUCAUCUCUUGAGACAGAGGAUCUUCCCGGCUCUAAGAGAGACUGAGGGAAAAAUGAAGUCCCUUCUUCUAGGGGAGCAGUCGAGCUCCUGGGAGGGAUCUCACAGUUCUUCUUGAGACAUGGAAGAAAAACCGAGAGACUGUGGCCCCACCUAGUUUCUGUGAAGGAUUUUGUCCAAUGGCCCCUCUCUGACUCUGAGCCUCUUUAUGUGGAUGUCGUGACCUGAGCAUCAGGAGAAUACGCACUGUGUGUGGCUGGCCCAGCUGGGAUGGGGACUCCCAGCUGCCAGGAAAGGUGGACUCUUUAUACCAAGCCAUCUUUAUACCUGACUGGAGCUGGCAGGGGCUCCCAGAGGACUUCCUGGGACUGUCAGCCUCAGCCUGGACUGAGGGAUGCGUCCCUGAAGAGUGAGGACGGACAGCUGGCUGCCUUUGUACCUGAGGGAAACUGUGGGUACGGUGGUCCUGGAAAGGAGACUGAUGCAUACAUUUGUGGUAGUGGCUGGUCAGAGAAGACCUGAACCCUCAGCUUCCCUGGAAGACGAGACCCUUCCUUGGAUGACCCUGCCUGAGGGCCCUCUGGAGGCCUUGCACAAGCAGCAACCAGGACAGAAAACCUUGAGAUGGGACCCCCUGGAGUCAAAGAUGGGGCCCAGAAGGUUGGGGUGAGGCUGUGAGGAGGAGGGUGAAAGCUGGUGGUGUGGUCCAAAGAGACAAGGUAUGAGGAGGACUGGAGAUUCCAGAAAGUGCAUGGCAGAGCCGCAGACCCACCCAGGAGCAGGUGGCUGUGGAAAAGUAACAAAUAAAUAAACGGCAGAGUCUCCCGAG